AACGAUAUAUAACUAAAGCCGAACCUUCUCAGAACUGUUAUACGUACUCGAGAGUAAGAAGCCCCUCAACGAAAGUAGCUUUAACAUUUUGACCCCACGAAAGCUGCGAAACAAACUGGGAUUAGAUACCCCACUAUGCCCAGCUAUAAACAUUAAUAGCUUUGAUACAUUUGCUAUUCGCCCGGGUACUACGAGCAUCAGCUUAAAACCCAAAGGACUUGGCGGUGCUUAAGACCCCCCUAGAGGAGCCUGUUCUAGAACCGAUAACCCCCGUUGAACCUCACCCUCUCUUGUUCAUUCCGUCUAUAUACCGCCGUCGUCAGCUUACCCCGUGAGGGUUCAACAGUAAGCAAGAUUAGCAAACCUCAAAACGUCAGGUCGAGGUGUAGCGAAUGGGAGGGGAAGAAA
rnacentral:rRNA from 1 species